UGAAUACGAGGCACUAAGGUGCUGAAGUAGUGUAUGUCAUACUUCCAAGAAAAGCUUGCACUAUCGUAAGAUAAAAAUGCCUGUACCAUAACCGACACAGGUGGGUAGGUAGAGUAUACUAAGGGGCGCGAGAUAACUCUCUCUAAGGAACUCGGCAAAAUAACUCCGUAACUUCGGGAGAAGGAGUGCCUUAUUCUAUAAGGUUGCAAUAACAAGAUCCAAGCAACUGUUUAUCAAAAACACAGGUCUCCGCUAAGUCGUAAGACGAUGUAUGGGGGCUGACGCCUGCCCAGUGCCAAGGUUAAAGAAGUCGGUUAGCAAUUGCGAAGCUGGUAACUGAAGCCCUGGUGAACGGCGGCCGUAACUAUAACGGUCCUAAGGUAGCGAAAUUCCUUGUCGGGUAAGUUCCGACCCGCACGAAAGGCGUAAUGAUUUGGAUACUGUCUCGGAGAGGGACUCGGUGAAAUAGACUUGUCUGUGAAGAUGCGGACUACCUGCACCAGGACAGAAAGACCCUAUGAAGCUUUACUGUAACUUGAAAUUGAAAUUGGACUUUAUUCGCGCAGUAUAGGUGGGAGGCGUUGAUUAUAAUCUUGUGGGAUUAUUGGAGCCAUUAGUGAGAUACCACUCUUGUAAUGUUAGAUUUCUAACUUUGAAUCAUGAUCUGGUCAAAGAACAGUUUCAGGCGGGCAGUUUGACUGGGGCGGUCGCCUCCUAAAUGGUAACGGAGGCGUACAAAGGUUUCCUCUGAACGGGUAGAAAUCGUAUCUAGAGUGUAAAGGCAUAAGGAAGCUUGACUGUGAGACCUACAAGUCGAGCAGGGACGAAAGUCGGUCUUAGUGAUCUGACGGUACUGAGUGGAAAGGCCGUCACUCAACGGAUAAAAGUUACUCUAGGGAUAACAGGCUGAUCUCCCCCAAGAGUUCACAUCGACGGGGAGGUUUGGCACCUCGAUGUCGGCUCAUCGCAUCCUGGGGCGGUAGUACGUCCCAAGGGUUGGGCUGUUCGCCCAUGAAAGCGGUACGCGAGCUGGGUUCAGAACGUCGCGAGACAGUUCGGUCCAUAUCCGGUGUAGGCGUUAGAAUAUUGAGAGGAGCCUUCUUUAGUACGAGAGGACCGAGAAGGACAUACCUCUGGUGUACCAGUUAUCGUGCCAACGGUAAACGCUGGGUAGCUAUGUAUGGAGUGGAUAACCGCUGAAAGCAUCUAAGUGGGAAGCCCACCUCAAGAUAAGUAUUCUCAC
rnacentral:rRNA from 1 species